rnacentral:lncRNA from 1 species
CACCUAGCGUGGCCAUUAAACUCUGCGGCCCUCCGCGGCACACAGUGGACGCUGACCAAGCUGUUCUCCAAAGCUCAUUUGAGAAAUACCUACUGAGCACGCACUUCCAUCGCUCCAGAGUCCUGGGCGUCCAGGUAAAGAGGGUCCCAGCCACAAGGUGUUCCCUUCCUGGUCCUGAGUUAC